GGAGUCUGGUCCGUGUCUCAGUACCAGUGUGGGGGACCUUCCUCUCAGAACCCCUAAGGAUCGAUGGCUCGGUGGGCCGUUACCCCGCCAACUACCUAAUCGGACGCAUCCCCAUCCAUGGCCGGUAAACCUUUAGUCCUCGUUAGAUGUCUGCAAAGGACGCCAUAGGGCAUUAAUCCGCUUUUCAACGGGCUAUUCCCUAGCCAUGGGCAGGUUGGAUACGCGUUACUCACCCGUGCGCCGGUCGCCAUCAGAGUCUGCAAGCAAACCCUAUGCUGCCCCUCGACUUGCAUGUGUUAAGCCUGUAGCUAGCGUUCAUC
rnacentral:rRNA from 1 species